rnacentral:rRNA from 1 species
AUACGGAGGAUGCGAGCGUUAUCCGGAUUUAUUGGGUUUAAAGGGUGCGUAGGCUGUGCGUUAAGUCAGGGGUGAAAUGCCGUCGCUCAACGACGGAGCUGCCCUUGAUACUGGCGUGCUGGAGUACGGAUGCCGUUGGAGGAAUGAGUGGUGUAGCGGUGAAAUGCUUAGAUAUCACUCAGAACACCGAUUGCGAAGGCAUCUGACGAAUCCUUCACUGACGCUGAGGCACGAAAGCGUGGGGAUAGAACAGGAUUAGAUACCCGGGUAUUCCACGCCGUAAACGAUGAUGACUAACCGUCGGCGAUAGACAGCCGGUGGCCAAGCGAAAGCGAUAAGUCAUCCACCUGGGGAGUACGUCGGCAACGAUGAAACUCAAAGGAAUUGACGGGG